AGAAUUCAAUAGAGGUUAGUGAAGGAGAAAACAUUGAAAAGUAGGACAGUGCCGAAGGAUGCUAAGAAUUCAAUAGAGGUUAGUGAAGGAGAAAACAUUGAAAAGUAGAACAAUGCCGAAGGAUGCUAAGAAUUCAAUAGAGGUUAGUGAAGGAGAAAACAUUGAAAAGUAGAACAAUGCCGAAGGAUGCUAAGAAUUCAAUAGAGGUUAGUGAAGGAGAAAACAUUGAAAAGUAGGACAAUGCCGAAGGAUGCUAAGAAUUCGAUAGAGGUUAGUGAAGGAGAAAACAUUUAAAAGUAGGACAAUGCCGAAGGAUGCUAAGAAUUUAAUAGAGGUUAGUGAAGGAGAAAACAUUGAAAAGUAGGACAAUGCCGAGGGAUGCUAAGAAUUUAAUAGAGGUUAGUGAAGGAGAAAACAUUGAAAAGUAGGACAAUGCCGGAGGAUGCUAAGAAUUCAAUAGAGGUUAGUGAAGGAGAAAACAUUGAAAAGUAGGACAAUGCCGGAGGAUGCUAAGAAUUCAAUAGAGGUUAGUGAAGGAGAAAACAUUGAAAAGUAGAACAAUGCCGGAGGAUGCUAAGAAUUCAAUAGAAGUUAGUGAAGGAGAAAACAUUGAAAAGUAGAACAAUGCCGGAGGAUGCUAAGAAUUCAAUAGAAGUUAGUGAAGGAGAAAACAUUGAAAAGUAGAACAAUGCCGGAGGAUGCUUAGAAU